rnacentral:lncRNA from 1 species
AUAGAGAAUCCAUAUCACAAAAACUCACAUUUACACAAAACAUAUAAAAUACAUAUCAUCGGAGCAGAUAUGUGUUGAUAUGCUUAACACGAACACUUUCUAACAUAGGCGUCUUGAAUAUCAAUUGCUUUCUUCACACAAAUACCCUCUAGAGAUGCAACAAAUACCAAACAAUAAACAAAAUAAAUCAGAUGUAAAUAAAACAUUAUACCAAGAAAAACAAUAAGAAUACAAGGCAUCAUAGAUAAGAAUUACAACAUGAAUAAAUUCAGACAUAUGCUUGUCAUUGUGUAAGAUUUUCUUAAUCACUUGCCAAGAAAAAAUGAAAUUGAACAAACAGAUAAAAAAGCAUAAAAAAACAGUAAAUUGGGAUUCAGUUUAUGGGUGGUGAUAUAACAGAGUGGUCGGCAAGGUGAUUAUUCAUCACCAUUACGACGAACGAGACCUUAUCACAUGUAGUCGUCAUUAUCCCUUUUCAAUCGAUUUAAAACUUAUAAAUAAAUAAAAAGGAACGAAUUUUAGGGUUCAUCAGAUAGGAGCGAAAGACUAAAAAGAUGUUUAAUCACAGAGUAUCAUUUGAACUAUGCAAAAUCAUCACUUGAACCUCUCAAUUUCCACAAACAGAUUAAAAAAAAAAUCAAAACGCCUCAGAAGGAAGGCAGUAUUUUGUGUAAUCAUGAUUUAUCAUUCUUACGCAAACAUCAAUACAAUCAUCAUUGGCUGGGGAAAAAACAAAAAAAGGUUAAAAAUUUAAUGGCCUCAUAGAGAAGAUUAGAUUUAACAACAUGGUUUAGUUCAGACAUAUGCUUGUCUUUGAUUUAGAAUUUAAUCAUCGGCCAAUUUCAGGGAAAAAAAUAAAAACUGAAAUCACUAAGAACAUAGAAUAAGAAGCAGAUGAUAAUCAAAGAAAAAGAUUUGCGCAAAACUUUCAUGGAAGAAGGAAAACAGUGGACUCAGUUUAUGGGUGGUGAUAUAACAGUUUGGUCGGCAAGGUGAUUUGCAUCACCAUUACGACGAACGAGACCUUAUCACAUGGAGUCGUCAUAGCCCUUUUAAUGAAAAAACUGAAAACCUAGUAAAAACGAUUCGAUCAAAUUGGAUAAGAACAAAACCAAAUCGAAAAUUAAAAAUGGGGAAAAACCAUAACAGAAUGAUCUAACCUUCGAUCAGAAAACCUAAUCAAUAAACCCUAGAUGUUAUAGUAAACAGAGAAGAGCGAUGAGAUUUGAUUGAUUAUGCGUUUCUACUUAUAGAAUGAUUCUAGGGUUUGGUUGCAGCUAAGAACUCGAAUCGGG